rnacentral:rRNA from 1 species
UACGGAGGGUGCGAGCGUUGUCCGGAAUCACUGGGCGUAAAGGGCGCGUAGGCGGCUCGAUAAGGCUGUGGUGAAAGCCCGGGGCUCAACCCCGGGUCGGCCGUGGCGACUGUUGGGCUGGAGCACUGUAGAGGCGGGGCCGGAAUUCCGGGUGUAGCGGUGGAAUGCGUAGAGAUCCGGAAGAACACCGGGUGGCGAAGGCGGCCCGCUGGGCAGGAAGGGUGAGGAGCAAUCCUCGCCGGCUG